UACGGAGGUGGCUAGCGUUGUUCGGAAUUACUGGGCGUAAAGCGCGCGUAGGCGGACUAUUAAGUCAGGGGUGAAAGCCCGGGGCUCAACCGCGGAACUGCCAUUGAUACUGGUAGUCUGGAGUUCUGGAGAGGUGAGUGGAAUUCCGAGUGUAGAGGUGAAAUUCGUAGAUAUGCGGAGGAACACCAGUGGCGAAGGCGGCUCACUGGCUCGAUACUGACGCUGAGGUGCGAAAGUGUGGGGAGCAAACAGG
rnacentral:misc_RNA from 1 species